rnacentral:misc_RNA from 1 species
GUGAAGAACGCAGCGAAAUGCGAUACGUAAUGUGAAUUGCAGAAUUCAGUGAAUCAUCGAAUCUUUGAACGCACAUUGCGCCCCUUGGUAUUCCAUGGGGCAUGCCUGUUCGAGCGUCAUUUGUACCUUCAAGCUUUGCUUGGUGUUGGGUGUUUGUCUCGCCUUUGCGUGUAGACUCGCCUUAAAAUAAUUGGCAGCCGGCGUAUUGAUUUCGGAGCGCAGUACAUCUCGCGCUUUGCACUCAUAACGACAGCGUCCAAAAGUACAUUUUACACUCUUGACCUCGGAUCAGGUAGGGAUACCCGCUGAACUUAAGCAUAUCAAUAAGCGGAGGA